rnacentral:rRNA from 1 species
GGAUUAGAUACCCUGGUAGUCCACGCAGUAAACGUUGAUUACUAGGUGUUGGUUGCAUAAAGCAAUCAGUGCCGCAGCAAACGCGUUAAGUAAUCCGCCUGGGGAGUACGGUCGCAAGAUUAAAACUCAAAGGAAUUGACGGGGGCCUGCACAAGCGGUGGAGCAUGUGGUUUAAUUCGAAGCAACGCGAAGAACCUUACCUGGACUUGACAUCUCGGGAAUUUUUUAGAGAUAAGAAAGUGCCCUUUUUGGGAACCCGAAGACAGGUGCUGCAUGGCUGUCGUCAGCUCGUGCCG